rnacentral:misc_RNA from 1 species
GUUGAAACUCCUUGAGCAAUACAGUCCAGGUAAGGAGCCAUAUGGAUCCUCUCCAAGUCAUCAUAAGAUGAAAUGGUAUUUCCUUCAUUCAAACCUUUAUCAGUCCCCCCAUCUCCAACAAAAUGUUUUGCACAUGCAAUGACGUUAUUUCUUCCAGCUACAAAAGGAUAGCCCUUUGGGUAUCCUUCAGGUGGCUUCCCUUGCAACCCUUCAACUAAAGAAGUCAUUUUUCUAACAACUUCAGUAUCUUCACUGAAAC